GAUGAACGCUGGCGGCGUGCUUAACACAUGCAAGUCGAACGGAGUGCUCAUGACGGAGGAUUCGUCCAACGGAUUGAGUUACUUAGUGGCGGACGGGUGAGUAACGCGUGAGGAACCUGCCUCGGAGUGGGGAAUAACAGCCCGAAAGGGUUGCUAAUACCGCAUGAGCCCACAGCUCAGCAUCGAGCAGAGGGAAAAGGAGUGAUCCGCUUUGAGAUGGCCUCGCGUCCGAUUAGCUGGUUGGUGAGGUAACGGCCCACCAAGGCGACGAUCGGUAGCCGGACUGAGAGGUUGAACGGCCACAUUGGGACUGAGACACGGCCCAG
rnacentral:rRNA from 1 species